AUUGAACGCUGGCGGCAUGCCUUACACAUGCAAGUCGAACGGUAACAGGUCUUCGGAUGCUGACGAGUGGCGAACGGGUGAGUAAUACAUCGGAACGUGCCCGAUCGUGGGGGAUAACGGAGCGAAAGCUUUGCUAAUACCGCAUACGAUCUACGGAUGAAAGCAGGGGACCGCAAGGCCUUGCGCGGACGGAGCGGCCGAUGGCAGAUUAGGUAGUUGGUGGGAUAAAAGCUUACCAAGCCGACGAUCUGUAGCUGGUCUGAGAGGACGACCAGCCACACUGGGACUGAGACACGGCCCAGACUCCUACGGGAGGCAGCAGUGGGGAAUUUUGGACAAUGGGCGCAAGCCUGAUCCAGCCAUGCCGCGUGCAGGAUGAAGGCCUUCGGGUUGUAAACUGCUUUUGUACGGAACGAAAAGACUCUUUCUAAUAAAGAGGGUUCAUGACGGUACCGUAAGAAUAAGCACCGGCUAACUACGUGCCAGCCGCCGCGGUAACAC
rnacentral:rRNA from 1 species